rnacentral:rRNA from 1 species
UGUAGCUCCGGUCGUGAGGACGCGGUAUUACGUAGGGUGCACGCGUAAUCGGGGAGCGCUGUGCGGAAAGCGUGCGUAGGUGGCGCGUUAAGUGAGAUGGUAAAUCGUGUGGCGCAACCAUAUCGAUGCGUGUCAUACUGGCGUGCUAGAGGACAACAGAGGCAAGUGGAAUUGGUAGUGUAGCAGUGAAAUGCGUAGAUAUUACCAGGAACACCAAUGGCGAAGGCAGCUUGCUGGGCUACUCCUGACACUGAGGUACGAAAGCGUGGGGAGCGAACAGGAUUAGAUACCCGAGUAGUC